AUUGAACGCUGGCGGCAUGCCUUACACAUGCAAGUCGAACGGCAGCGGGGGAGAAGCUUGCUUUUCCUGCCGGCGAGUGGCGAACGGGUGAGUAAUACAUCGGAACGUGCCCUGUAGUGGGGGAUAACUAGUCGAAAGAUUAGCUAAUACCGCAUACGACCUGAGGGUGAAAGUGGGGGACCGCAAGGCCUCAUGCUAUACGAGCGGCCGAUGUCUGAUUAGCUAGUUGGUGGGGUAAAGGCCUACAAAGGCGACGAUCUGUAGCUGGUCUGAGAGGACGAUCAGCCACACUGGGACUGAGACACGGCCCAGACUCCUACGGGAGGCAGCAGUGGGGAAUUUUGGACAAUGGGCGAAAGCCUGAUCAGCAAUGCCGCGUGUGUGAAGAAGGCCGUCGGGUUGUAAAGCACUUUUGUCCGGAAAGAAAUGGCUCUGGUUAAUACCUGGGGUCGAUGACGGUACCGGAAGAAUAAGGACCGGCUAACUACGUGCCAGCCGCCGCCGUAA
rnacentral:rRNA from 1 species